rnacentral:rRNA from 1 species
UACGUAGGGUGCGAGCGUUGUCCGGAAUUAUUGGGCGUAAAGCGCACGUAGGCGGUUCGUUAAGUCGGAUGUGAAAGCCCUCGGCUCAACUGAGGAAGUGCACCCGAAACUGGCGAGCUUGAGUACGAAAGAGGAUCGCGGAAUUCCCGGUGCAGAGGUGAAAUUCGUAGAUAUCGGGAGGAACACCGGCGGCGAAGGCGGCGAUCUGGGUCGAUACUGACGCUGAGGUGCGAAAGCGUGGGGAGCAAACAGG